rnacentral:rRNA from 1 species
UACAGAGGUCCCAAGCGUUGUUCGGAUUUACUGGGCGUAAAGGGUGCGUAGGUGGUUGGGUAAGUCUGAUGUGAAAUCUCGGAGCUUAACUCCGAAACGGCAUUGGAUACUAUCCGGCUGGAGGGUUGGAGGGGGGACUGGAAUUCUCGGUGUAGCAGUGAAAUGCGUAGAUAUCGAGAGGAACACCAGUGGCGAAGGCGAGUCCCUGGACAACUCCUGACACUGAGGCACGAAAGCCAGGGGAGCAAACGGG